rnacentral:rRNA from 1 species
AUUGAACGCUGGCGGCAUGCUUUACACAUGCAAGUCGAACGGUAACAGGCCGCAAGGUGCUGACGAGUGGCGAACGGGUGAGUAAUGCAUCGGAACGUGCCCAGUCGUGGGGGAUAACUACUCGAAAGAGUAGCUAAUACCGCAUACGAUCUAUGGAUGAAAGCGGGGGACCGAAAGGCCCCGGGGGAUUGAGCCGGCGAUGUCAGAUUAGGUAGUUGGUGGGGUAAAGGCUCACCAAGCCAACGAUCUGUAGCUGGUCUGAGAGGACGACCAGCCACACUGGGACUGAGACACGGCCCAGACUCCUACGGGAGGCAGCAGUGGGGAAUUUUGGACAAUGGGCGCAAGCCUGAUCCAGCAAUGCCGCGUGCAGGAAGAAGGCCUUCGGGUUGUAAACUGCUUUUGUACGGAACGAAACGGCUCUGGUUAAUACCCGGGGCUAAUGACGGUACCGUAAGAAUAAGCACCGGCUAACUACGUG